UACAGAGGUCCCGAGCGUUGUUCGGAUUCACUGGGCGUAAAGGGUGCGUAGGUGGUGAGGUAAGUCGGAUGUGAAAGCUCCAAGCUCAACUUGGAAAUGGCAUUGGAAACUACCUUGCUAGAGGGUUCGAGGGGGGACUGGAAUACUUGGUGUAGCAGUGAAAUGCGUAGAUAUCAAGUGGAACACCAGUGGCGAAGGCGAGUCCCUGGAAAACUCCUGACACUGAGGCACGAAAGCUAGGGGAGCAAACAGG
rnacentral:rRNA from 1 species